GUGAGGAAUAUUGGUCAAUGGGCGAGAGCCUGAACCAGCCAAAUCGCGUGAAGGAUGAAGGUAUUAUGUAUUGUAAACUUCUUUUAUCGGGGAAUAAAGUGCACCACGUGUGGUGUUUUGUAUGUACCCGAAGAAUAAGGAUCGGCUAACUCCGUGCCAGCAGCCGCGGUAAUACGGAGGAUCCAAGCGUUAUCCGGAUUUAUUGGGUUUAAAGGGUGCGUAGGCGGACUGUCAAGUCAGCGGUGAAAGGUCAUGGCUCAACCAUGGAAUUGCCGUUGAAACUGUCGGUCUUGAGUGUAGAUGAGGUAGGCGGAAUUCGUAGUGUAGCGGUGAAAUGCUUAGAUAUUACGAAGAACUCCAAUUGCGUAGGCAGCUUACCAGGCUACAACUGACGCUGAGGCACGAAGGUGCGGGGAUCAAACAGGAUUAGAAACCCUAGUAGUCC
rnacentral:rRNA from 1 species